GACGAACGCUGGCGGCGUGCCUAAUACAUGCAAGUAGAACGCUGAAGGAGGAGCUUGCUCUUCUGGAUGAGUUGCGAACGGGUGAGUAACGCGUAGGUAACCUGCCUGGUAGCGGGGGAUAACUAUUGGAAACGAUAGCUAAUACCGCAUAACAGUAGAUGUUGCACGACAUUUGCUUAAAAGGUGCAAUUGCAUCACUACCAGAUGGACCUGCGUUGUAUUAGCUAGUUGGUGGGGUAACGGCUCACCAAGGCGACGAUACAUAGCCGACCUGAGAGGGUGAUCGGCCACGCUGGGACUGAGACACGGCCCAGACUCCUACGGGAGGCAGCAGUAGGGAAUCUUCGGCAAUGGACGGAAGUCUGACCGAGCAACGCCGCGUGAGUGAAGAAGGUUUUCGGAUCGUAAAGCUCUGUUGUAAGAGAAGAACGAGUGUGAGAGUGGAAAGUUCACACUGUGACGGUAUCUUACCAGAAAGGGACGGCUAACUACGUG
rnacentral:rRNA from 1 species